rnacentral:rRNA from 1 species
GACGAACGCUGGCGGCGUGCUUAACACAUGCAAGUCGAACGGAAAGGCCCUGCUUUUGUGGGGUGCUCGAGUGGCGAACGGGUGAGUAACACGUGAGUAACCUGCCCUUGACUUUGGGAUAACUUCAGGAAACUGGGGCUAAUACCUGAUAGGAGCUCCUGCUGCAUGGUGGGGGUUGGAAAGUUUCGGCGGUUGGGGAUGGACUCGCGGCUUAUCAGCUUGUUGGUGGGGUAGUGGCUUACCAAGGCUUUGACGGGUAGCCGGCCUGAGAGGGUGACCGGCCACAUUGGGACUGAGAUACGGCCCCGACUCCUACGGGAGGCAGCGGUGGGGAAUAUUGCACAAUGGGCGGAGGCCUGAUGCAGCAACGCCGCGUGCGGGAUGACGGCCUUCGGGUUGUAAACCGCUUUCGCCUGUGACGAAGCGUGAGUGACGGUAAUGGGUAAAGAAGCACCGGCUAACUACGUG